AACUGGAGGCAUUCAGCAGUGCUCACUGGGAUUUUGCUGAUGUGGCCCCAACCCCGCCUCCCUCCCCACCCUGCGAUGUCAGAAAAAACACGACAGGACAAAUUGGCUGCAGCCAAGAAAAAGCUGAAAGAGUAUCAGCAGAGUAAAAGCCCUGGUGUCCCGGCAGGAGCGAAGACAAAGAAGAAAAAAACUGGAAGUAGCCUUGAGACAACCACUUCUGGUGGUUGCCACUCACCUGAGGAUUCCUCCUCCAACUCAUCCUCUCUAUAUGCGCCUCAGAGCCGGUACCAAGAACUAGCAGUAGCCCUGGACUCAAACUCUGCGACAAUCAAUCACCUUAAUGAAAAUAUAGAAUCAUUGAAACAACAGAAGAAACAAGUGGAACAUCAGCUGGAAGAAGAGAAGAAAGCAAACAAUGAAAUACACAAAGCGCAAAUGGAGCAGUUAGAGACAAUCAACAUCCUCAUGUUGGAAAAGGCAGACUUGAAGACCACCCUUUACCAUACUAAACGUGCCGCCAGACACUUUGAAGAAGAGUCCAAGGAUCUGGCCAGCCGCCUGCAAUACUCCUUGCAGCGUACUCAAGAAUUGGAGUGGGCUCUCUCUGCUGUGUCUACACAGCAGCAGGAAGAGGACAGGAUGAGUUCAACCAGCUGUCCCGUCCCCUGGCAGCCUGGCUUGCCAGAUGGAGGAUCCUCGAGCCGCAGUGAAGCAGUCCUCCAGCAGCAGUUACAGCAGUCCACAAAGGAGCGGGCACUGCUGACGCAGGUGACAGAGUCACUUAAACAAGUCCAGCUAGAGAGAGAUGAAUAUGCUCAACAUAUAACAGGAGAGAGGGCCCGGUGGCAGGAGAGGAUGUGGAAAAUGUCGGUGGAGGCUUGCACAUUGAAGGAGGAGAAGCGUGACAUACAUCGGAUACAGGAGCUGGAGAGGAGCUUGUCCGAACUCAAACCCCAGAUGGCUGAGCCCCUGUCCCCAGCACCCCCAGCAGGGACUUCUGAGGUGAAGCAGCUACAAGAUGAGGCCAGGCACCUGAGGAAGGAGGUGGAACGUUUGGAGGGAAAGCUGCAAUCCCAGGUGGAAAACAAUCAGGCCUUGAGUCUCCUGAGCAAGGAACAAAAGGAGAGCUUUCGGGAUCAGGAGGAGAGGCUCUGAGAGCAGGAGGAGAGGAGGGUGCGGGAGCAGGAGAGGGUGCGGGAGCAGGAGAGGGUGCGGGAGCAGGAGAGGGUGCGGGAGCAGGAGAGGGUGCGGGAGCAGGAGAGGGUGCGGGAGCAGGAGAGGGUGCGGGAGCAGGAGAGGGUGCGGGAGCAGGAGAGGGUGCGGGAGCAGGAGGAGCAGAGGCUGCAGGAGCAGGAGAGACUGUGUGCAAAAGGAGAGGCUUCAGAAGCAGCAGGAGAGGCUGCGGGAGCAGGGUGAGAGGCUGCGGGAGCAGGGUGAGAGGCUGCGAAAGCAGGAGGAGAGGCUACGAAAGGAGGAGGAGAGGCUGCAAAAGGAGGAGGAGAGGCUGUGAAAGCAGGAGGAGAGGCUGUGGGAUCAGGAGGAGAGGCUCGCGCUCUCCCAGAACCACACGCUCGACAAGCAGCUGGCCGAGCCACAUUGCAACUUCGAGGAUCUGAACAAUGAGAACAAGAGCGCACUGCAGUUGGAGCAGCAAGUAAAGGAACUGCAGGAGAAGCUGGGUGAGGAGUGCCUAGAAGCUGCCAGCCAGCAGAACCAACAGCUAGAGACCCAGCUGAGCGUCAUGGCUCUCCCUGGAGAAGGAGAUGGAGGAGGACAUCUGGACAGUGAGGAGGAGGAGGUGCCUUGGCCCAUGCCAAGUAUCCCACAGGACCUGGAGAACCGGGAGGCCAUGAGCGGCUUUAUGGACCUCCCGAAGGAGAAGGCGGACGGGAAGGAGCAGGUGGAAAAACUAGAGCUUGGAUUCAUCCAGCUCUCUGAAGCAACAGACAGCAUGAGAGAGUACGUCACAGUAUAUGAGAGCCAAGGGGCAGUGCCAAACACGUGGCACCAGGAUAUGGAGGAUGUCAUUAGGCUGGCCCAGAACGAGGAGGAGAUGAAAGUGAAUACGCUGGAACUGCCGAAGCUGGUGUUGCCGCUUGUGGGCGACCACGAGGGUCAUGGCAAAUUCUUCGCCACUCCCCAGAACCCUGCUGAUGAGCCCGCUCCAGGGGCUCCAGCCCCCGAGGAACUUGGGGCUGCUGGCAAGCAGGGUGAUUUUUCUGAGGUGAGCCUGGACAACAGCGUGGAGCCCACACCAGGAGAGGCCAGGAAGGGUUCUCCCCAUGACAACCCCACUGCCGAGCAGAUCGUGCACCUGCUUCCUGUAAUGCAGGACACCCAGGAGCACCCAGGCUUGGCCACCAAACCCUGCAUGCCAUUCUUUUACCGGGCAUCCGAGAACAGGGAGAUAAACAUCAUCAUCAUCUAAGAGCUGGUCAAGAAAUUGAAAAACAACAACAACAAAAAGUUAUGGCGUUAAUCUCGUACACAAUUCAUUUACUUCAUCUGAAUGUUAGAGCCACUCAUGUUCAUUUGUGUUUCUAAUUUACAGUUUAAAUUUAUUUGUAGAAAAUUAGGGAGAGUGGAUCUUUCCCUGAUGUUCACUCUCGCAUCCUUUAGCAUUUUUGUUUUUUAAUUUGAUAAUUGUAAGUCGUUAGCUCGCAUAUCGAGUUUGCCUUUACCUGGUAGGAGUUCAAGCACACAAAGACCCACUAUUUGCGCAAAAUUAUUCUUGCUGGUUUGGAAUAGGCUGCCAUGGUUUUUAAAAUGUUUUUGCAGCAUGUAUGUUCAUUACAGAAUUCAGAUAAAAUUUGCUUAUGUUCUGAUAUUAUGUUUGCUCGAAUCCUAAUCACAGCGAGCUCUUCAUUAGCUCAAUAUAUGGUUUGCCCUCAAGUGCACACUGUUUAUUACUUUGUAAUAUGCCACUGUGAGUAGUGACGUUUACAGUUGUUUAAAGGCUGAGAACUGGAAACAACCUUUCCUCUAUUUUCUGUGUAUUGGGGAUGGGUGUAAUAACAUUUGGGGGAGCUUUUUAAAUCUCACAGAAGAGGAAAGUGGCCUGCUUUGGCAGGUGCCUGCAGGAUACAGUGUGUUUCCUUCGUUCUGGUGCCAAGAAUGAGCGCGGUACUAUGGUAGUUCCCUUAGGAUUUGUAUGUGCUCUGGGCUCAUGAAGAUAUUGCAUCAUGAGCUGUGGCCUUUGUACUCUUUCUCAAUGACCUAAAAAGGGAUUAUUUCUGAGGAAGGAAAGGCUCCCAUCAUUGACUGUGGAUAGGGAAAACCUUUUCUAGCUUAGCGCAAAUAUAUACAAUACAUUUUAAAAUCAGAGUCCAUGUUACCUAUUUCAAUCACAUGACUACAGGUCCCAUCACACAAAAGGGCACUGGUUGGCAUUCUUCUUUAUGUAAUUAGUAAAGAUCAUAAGAAAUCCUUUCAGAGUUUUAAUGUCCCUGGAACAGGCAUACAGGCUUUAGUCAAGAAUUAAUUCUAGUGAAGGAAAGCUGUGUGACACCUGGCAUUCCUCUAUGUUCAUGGAGCUUUUUUGAGACUAGAAUAUUGAUUUUACCAUCUAGACCUCUCUGGCUAAUACUUUUUCUUCAACCACAUAGGUUACUCUCACAUAGGAAUUUACUUCUUUUCCUUGAAUGGAAAACACUUAAAAAAUAACAACCAUUAUUAUAAACCAAUAUAUGUGAGAGUACUUAGUUGAAACAAAAAGAAGUUUUAGUAGACAGUAUUCUACUACAUUUGAAAAUCAAGGAGAUGUUUAUGCAACUUAAAAUGUGUACAAACUGCAGUGCAAUCUACUGUUUGUGAAUGUCAGAGUAUUUUGAGGAAAAGUGUCUAUACAAUUACAGAGUUAUAUUUCCUCACAAAGUUCUUUAUGAAGAGUGAAAUAUGUUCUUAUACCUCUCAGUUUCAGUUAGAGGCAUAUUUUGUGUCAUACUUAUGUUCAUGUGCCUGUACAUGAUGAAUGAAUUAUUUCAGUCAUACAUUGCCUAAAUAAUAACUUUAUGAUGCUUGGGAAAGAACAGCUAAAACUUCAUGAAGUUCUAAUGUCUCUGUUCCAAAAUACGUCACAUUAUUAGAAUGUAGGGAUACAUUAUUAGAAUGUAUGCGCACUCCCUGGGGUGGGCAUUUCUAGUUACUAGACCAUCUCCAUUUUUAGCAUUUGGCAUCCUCAUGAUACUUUUAUAAAUAUGACAUUAAUAGGAGAGCAAUAAUACAAUUUUACUGUUGGAAUAACAGAUUUGCCUGCAUUCACUGAAAGAGUGCAAAUACUGGGUGCUUGUGACUUCAACUGACUCUUCCAAAUUGUAUGAAUUUAUCAGUUUAUUAGAUAAGUCCAGUUUCAGAAUGAUAAAGAAAAACUGUUAGACCAAAUAAUGUGGUUAAUUAACAGUGGUACAAUUUCUUGCCCGAGGGUUUAAAAUAGACUUGAGGUCCUGUUCUUACCUUCUAUUUUGUGAACUUGCCACUUUUGCAUUAUUUGAGUUCACUUGAAAGACAGUUACUUUAAGUCCAUUUAAAACCCUCGGGCUAGAAAUCGUACCAGUGUUAAUUAGCCACAUUAUUUGGUCUAACAGUUUUUCUUUAUCAUUCUGAAACUGGGUUUACCUAAUACAUUGAUAAAUUAUUUUGAAGGAAUUUUUAUAGUUCCAGUCACUUCACUUUUACCCUGACACAUAUAAAUGACUAGACCUUCAGAUUGCAUUUAGCAUCUGUAACCAAUCUGACAAUAAUGUGUUCAUCAGGGACCUAUGGAUUAAAUCACAUACUGGCAUAUUUAAGCUGAAUAUCAGCCUGGAAAAUAAAUGUACUAUAUUAACUGAAAUACCACUCUUUGUGUAGGUAUUUUGUCAUAUGUUUAAGACAAAGCUAAAAAGAAUGGAAAUCAUAUCACAAUAACUUAAGUCUUUCUUCAAAGUGCAUGCAGUCUUUUGCAAUACCUCAUUCAGCCAAGUAUUUGUUCUCUUCUUCAUUCAGUAUAAGGCAGCUUUCAGUUUGCUUAGAAGGCAACAUUAGAAGGUUAGAGUUCAUCAGAAAUACAUAAUUUUAAAAUGUGAGUUCAACUGAAUAAAUUUUAAUUUCUGUAGGAAAUAAAGAAUCAAAAUACCUGUUAAAAGAUUGCAAUAUAUGAUAAUUAUUUUUAAAGUAUCUGGCUAAACCUGAUAGAUUUUCUGGAAAUGAAUAAAAUCAGUUCUAAAACCAAAGCUGAUUUUUAGAAAAUGUGAAAAUAUAAAUCAGCCCUAUCCAUAAUAGUUUCUCCAAAACUUUAUCUUACAGAGUUACUUUAAAAUAAUAUAACUAUUCAAAAAUGUAACUGCUAUGUUAAUGUUUUGAAAUAAGUUAAAACAUUUUAAAAUAUGAAUACUGUAGUUUAAAACAAAGAAACUGGGGGAAGGAAAAGUAGAGAAAUAAAGUCCAAAGCUUUAUUUGCCAAGUUUUCUUAGAAUGACUUUUACCAAUUUAUGAAUUCUUAUUAACAGAAUGUAUAAUGGAAAUACUGAAAGACUUUUGUCUAAAGUGGCAUUAUUGACUGCUAUCAUGAUAUACUGUAAUGUAAUAAAUUAUGAAAUUGUUGCAAA